ensembl:lncRNA
ACUGUAUAAUUUCAAAUCCAAAGUGCUGAAGUACAGAGUCGAAACAACAAAACGUCUCACUGUUUAAAUACUUACAGACUGCGCAGUAUAGUGAGAAAACAAGGACUCUUGUGGCGGUCAUGCUCAAUUAAACGCCUUUAAUUAUAUCAAAUGGAACCUGGCUUGCAGAAAUUCGGUUCUGUUUUGCUUACUCGAUACCGCAUGGACCAUUUACCAUCUCGUGUACAAAGUGUAUGUUAUUUUCCGCGUGGCAAUAAGCUUGCAACGAUUCGAGUGCGCAUUGCUGACAGAAACGUGGGUUGCAGUUCGCUUUCUUUAGCAGCCCUAACCCUAACCGAUUAGGAUCCUGUAACAUUUGUAGGAUGAAAGAAUAGGCAACAAGAAAACUACCAGGACCGAGUUAACCACACCCACGCUGGGCUUGGACCUGGGUCCUCGGCUUCAAAACACGUGACCAUUACGUUCUUCACUCCAUUAAACACAGUGAGGAGGUUGGUAAAGGGACAAAACAAUCUCCAAGGAUCACAGCAGAAGCACUGGGAAACGUUUUAGGCUACAUGGCAACCUGUAUUCCAUCAAGUACCAGGAGAUUUAAGCCGAAAACCUGUCCGCCUCUGCCAGUAAGCUGGGACCGGCUCCUCGUUGGAUCUUCCACCAUUUACUAAUGAAAGAAUCUUGUUGCAAUGGAUAUCACAGUCCCCUGACCUCAAUUCCUUGGAAACCCUGUGGGAUGAGUUGAGGAGAGUUUACAAGCAAGGAGCAGAGUCUUUGAGAGUUUCUGUAUGGAGGAAGGAUUCCUCCCAGUGUUCUCCCACCUCAUCAAACAUUAUUGGAUUUGACUCAGGGCUGUUAUCUCCACAAGGGGAGGGUACACAAAGUAUUAAAUGCAGCAGUGCCAAUAAUUGCUGCACACUUGUUUUUUACAAUAAUAAUAAUAAUACUAUAAUUUUUUUUCUUUGAAGAAUUUUCACAAAAAAAUUCUACUAAAUUAAUUUCACUUUGUUAUAACCUUAAUACGUAAAAUCAAUAAUAAUCCCAAGCAAAACCACCUCACCAUGUCUACAUAUAUGCUAAACAAACAUUAGCACAAUGAAUAACACCUUGGCAAGUACAAAUAUUUACAUUGUGCCCCUUGUUACAUUCUUACCUUGUUCCACGCACAUACACCAGGAAUUUGAUCUGGUGAAAUCGACUUCACACAUUAAAAGCAGUUAAAAAAAUGAGGUUAAGUAAUGAUGUAAUGAUGCUUACUGGCCACAAGCUGUCGCUGUUGCAGUGGACAAACAGUAUGGCCAAACUGAGGAAGAUUUGAGUUGAGGUCCACACCAAACACAAAUCAAACCCAUAGCGAUCCUUUAAUUCAUUAAGAUGUGUUAUUAAAAUAGAUUUAGUUUACAAAGCCCAUGUCAUUGCCUACCUUCCAGAUCUGCAUUCUUAAACAACUUCUUCCAAAACCAAUUUUUGCCUGUGAUCAAAAACAUUUUGCGACCACAUAAUGUCAAUAAGGGUGAUGGAUUCAACAGUCAAUGUUUACUUUUAUUUUGUUUCAAAUAUAUUUUAUUAGAAGACAGAAACAGACAGGAAUGUAAACAAAAUAAAAGUUCAGGAAAACAAAGGAUUACCAUAAGGCAAUUAUUGUAUAUGAGCUUCUGUGUGGAAAAGAUAAUCAUUGAUUAUGUUCUAUGUUCCACAGUUGGAUUUAUUGCCUAGUCCUGUCCACUCUGUUCUAAAGAAAAUAGAAGACACACAUCUUCCUGAGUGUCUUAUCUAUCGCAAAUAACAUCAUAAUAUUUUGUAGCUUAACUCUUAAAACGGUUAUAGCCACAUUUGUAGGACGAUAACAGAAACCGCUAUGAUUAUUAACAACACAGCAUAAAAUCAGACACAUUUUGCGAUACACGUAACUCUGGUAAAAACAAAAACAAAUGCAGUCCACUCUGUUCAUAACAUAUUGUUUUGGGACAGAAAACAGUAAUGAGAUCAGAUGUUUCAUCAAUGACAAAAGUCAUUUUUCCAUCUUGCUCUAAAGGAUUAUACCUUAGAGUAGGAUGACCAGAUUAUUCAGACCAAUGCUCAUGAAGUGUGCAAAGCUGUCAUCACGGCAUAGGGUGGCUACUUUGAAAAAUCAACAAUGUUAAAGGUAUUUUGAACUGUUUAACAAUUUUGGUUACUACACGAUUCCAUGUGAGUUAUUUCAUAGUUUUGAUGUCUUUACUAUUAUUGUACAAUGUUGAAAAUAGC